CAGUCGCCGCGGUAAUACGUAGGGUGCAAGCGUUAAUCGGAAUUACUGGGCGUAAAGCGUGCGCAGGCGGUUCGUUAAGACAGAUGUGAAAUCCCCGGGCUUAACCUGGGAACUGCAUUUGUGACUGGCGGGCUAGAGUAUGGCAGAGGGGGGUAGAAUUCCACGUGUAGCAGUGAAAUGCGUAGGGAUGUGGAGGAAUACCGAUGGCGAAGGCAGCCCCCUGGGCCAAUACUGACGCUCAUGCACGAAAGCGUGGGGAGCAAACAGGAUUAGAUACCCGUGUAGUCCCUGUCUCUUAUAC
rnacentral:rRNA from 1 species